rnacentral:tRNA from 1 species
GCCGGUAUGAUGGAAUUGGCAGACGUGCUGGACUCAAAAUCCAGUGGUGGCGACACCGUGUCGGUUCGACCCCGACUACCGGCACCA